rnacentral:rRNA from 1 species
AACGUAGGAGGCGAGCGUUAUCCGGAUUUACUGGGCGUAAAGCGCGUGCAGGCGGUUUGGUAAGUCGUGCGUGAAAGCUCCCAGGCUCAACCGGGAGAGGUCGUGCGAGACUGCCAGACUAGAAGUAGAGAGAGGCCAGUAGAAUUCCGGGUGUAGUGGUGAAAUGCGUAGAGAUCCGGAGGAAUACCAGAGGCGAAGGCGGUUGGCUGGCUCUAACUUGACGCUCAGACGCGAAAGCAUGGGGAGCGAACGGG